ACUCAAACUUGUAAUGGAUUGAAAUAAAAUCCAGAGCCCUAACUGUGGCCUUCAAAGCUCGAGUGGCUAUACCUUUCCCUCAUCUUCCACCAUUCCAUGCUGCCCACUAAACUCUUUCUUCUGUCAUUCCCAGCUUAGGGUCUCACUCGCUAGAACAUAGUGGCCACGAGGGCGGGGACUUUGUCCUGUGCACUGCUAAAUCUUGAACGCUAGUAUUAGACAAAUUUUUGCGAAUGGGUAUUUGUGAAUGAAUUUGUGAACUGUGUUUUUUGAUCCUUGGAUGUUGUCUCAUUAGGGAAAUUAGAGUGGGAAAUAGCAGUGGGGGAAAAAGCUCAGCAAUGUUACAUUUCACUUCUACAUGUCGGUACGUUUUUGAGAUUCUCCCUUCAAUCUCUAGGGUCAAAACAUACGAAGAGCAUAGUUUCUGAAAGGAAAGAACGCACCCAUUGAGCAAGUGGAGGUGGAAGGGGACUGGAAGUGCAGAGACACUGAGAUUUCUGUCUCCAAGGCAAAGGAAGAAGUUCCACCUUAAGAUGUCAUUAAAGAAGUUGGAAGAAGAGGAGGGCUAUUUCUUGGGAGCUUCUUUAAUCUCAAGAUCAAGAAAGUUUCACUCAACUCCAGCUUCCUUCUUGAGUUGUCAUCUCUUCUAGUUAAGCCUCCACAACCAUCUCGGAAUAUGAAAAUCAUUUGAGAAAGUUAAAAAAUACCUAGUGUCAGAGUCUUACUCUAGACCAGUGAAAUCAGAAUCAUCCAGGCUUUGGCAGCUUCAGAAGUUCUCCGGAUGACUCCAAUAUUCCAGCAGGGUUAAGAACCACUGGUUAUGUCCUCAUCAUGUGACACCUGGGCUUCAGGCAUAUCUGUGAGCCAUCUGCUUGGCUCAUUCUCUUCUCCCUUGGAUUAAAUGUGACCUACUGCUUA
rnacentral:lncRNA from 1 species